GAUGGAUACUAGCAGUGGGACACGAACCGUUCAAAAGCCUCGUCUGUCUUCCAAAGAUGAAAUGGAACCUCUUCACCUGAUCUCCCAUUAAAUCUCGAUGCUGCAAUCACUUGGAAAAAUGGUGAGGCUUAUUUCUGACAAAAAGUCACAGACCUGAAAUUUGAACUCUGUUUCUAUCUCUCCACAGAUGCUGCCGGACUUGUGGAAUGCUUCCAGCAAGAUCUCUUUUCAUGAAACAUCAUUUCUUGGUUAUGAGUGUGUCAACAAUCAGUUACUCGCUGGAACAGGAUAUCCAAAUAGCAAGUGCAAGAUUUGGAUGUGGUUUUGUAACAGCGACCUGUGCCCAUUGAUUGGUUCAGUGUUGGAUAUGUGUCAGUCAUCUGGGGGGAAAUAUAAAGGGGUUUCUGAUGGACGUGAUUUCUGGGAUGAUACCUUUACUGGAUACAUGUAUUGAAAAGUUUUAUUCUUGUGGAGAAGACCACAACUGAGGAUGUCCCAACACAUUUGAUCUCUGAAUCGUAACAAACAUCAGCAGGAGACACCUUUCAUCAUGUACACCUUGGAUGGAUACAGUGCUGGUACCCCAGAGCGAGGAGGUUCAAUCAACAUGCUUCAAUAUUGCAAAGGAUUCUGUUUCUGCUUGGUGUGUAAAGGCAUCUUCUGUUCUUAACGCAGAAAGGUGGACACAGAGUAAUGUACUGGUGCAGAAUGACCACACAGGCUGUUCAUGGAGCACUGGAGAUAGAGAGUCGCACAGGACGCUGGACCGGGACAAUGCCUAAGCACUGCUGGGCCUGAAUGAGAUAAUCCUUAAACCUGACCUAUUUCAGGUUCACUGGCAAGACGAAAAAAAUGCUUGCAGACACUUCUUCAUGUAAAAAUCAUCUUUAUAACUCACACAGAAACAUUACAGAAAAGAAUCUCCACAUCGAAUAAAUGGAACAUCGUUAAGAAAAAAAGAUACAAACAAAAUAAACGUAUUAAUUCAGGGAAAUAGUGUGUAAUGUUAGCUCAUCAUCAGCUUCAAUAUUGAUGCAAUAUAAAAAUGGAACCACAUACUGCAAGAAGUCACUGAUGAUACUCAACAUCUGUUAUGAGCACAGGCAGUUGGCAGAUUCAAAGCCUAAAAAAUGUUUGACCCUCUCUGAUCUGGCUGGUUACAUGAACUGAAAACCCAAGAUCUUGAAGAGCUGCAAUGGUGACUGAUCAAGACUGAA